rnacentral:rRNA from 1 species
UACGAAGGGGGCUAGCGUUGCUCGGAAUCACUGGGCGUAAAGCGCACGUAGGCGGAUUGUUAAGUCAGGGGUGAAAUCCUGGAGCUCAACUCCAGAACUGCCUUUGAUACUGGCGAUCUCGAGUCCGGGAGAGGUGAGUGGAACUGCGAGUGUAGAGGUGAAAUUCGUAGAUAUUCGCAAGAACACCAGUGGCGAAGGCGGCUCACUGGCCCGGUACUGACGCUGAGGUGCGAAAGCGUGGGGAGCGAUCCGG